GAAAUGCGAUAAGUAAUGUGAAUUGCAGAAUUCAGUGAAUCAUCGAAUCUUUGAACGCACCGUGCGCUCCUUGGUAUUCCUUGGAGCAUGCCUGUUUGAGUAUCAUGAAAUCUUCAAAGUAAAUCUUUUGUUAACUCAAUUGGUUUCUACUUUGGUAUUGGAGGUCUUUGCAGCUUCACACCUGCUCCUCUUUGUUCAUUAGCUGGAUCUCAGUGUUAUGCUUGGUUCCACUCGGCGUGAUAAGUUAUCUAUCGCUGAGGACACUGUAAAAGGUGGCCAAGGUAAAUGCAGAUGAACCGCUUCUAAUAGUCCAUUGACUUGGACAAUACUUUUAUGAUCUGAUCUCAAAUCAGGUAGGACUACCCGCUGAACUUAAGC
rnacentral:misc_RNA from 1 species